rnacentral:rRNA from 1 species
GUGUUACAAUGGCAGGUACAGAGGGAUGCUACCGGGCGACCGGAUGCGGAUCUCGAAAGCCUGUCCCAGUUCGGACUGGAGUCUGCAACCCGACUCCACGAAGUUGGAUUCGCUAGUAAUCGCGCAUCAGCCAUGGCGCGGUGAAUACGUUCCCGGGCCUUGUACACACCGCCCGUCAAGCCGUGGGAGCCGGGGGCGCCUGAAGUCCGGGACCGCGAGGACCGGCCUAGGGCGAAACUGGUAACUGGGGCUAAGUCGUAACAAGGUACC